rnacentral:rRNA from 1 species
UACGUAGGGUCCGAGCGUUGUCCGGAAUUAUUGGGCGUAAAGGGCUCGUAGGCGGUUUGUCGCGUCGGGAGUGAAAACGCCGGGCUUAACCCGGUGCUUGCUUUCGAUACGGGCAGACUGGAGGUAUGCAGGGGAGAACGGAAUUCCUGGUGUAGCGGUGAAAUGCGCAGAUAUCAGGAGGAACACCGGUGGCGAAGGCGGUUCUCUGGGCAACAACUGACGCUGAGGAGCGAAAGCGUGGGGAGCGAACAGG